UGGGGUGUGGCCAAGUGGUAAGGCACCGGUUUUUGGUAUCGGCAUUCGUAGGUUCGAAUCCUACCACCCCAGCCA
rnacentral:tRNA from 1 species